rnacentral:rRNA from 1 species
GAUGAACGCUGGCGGCGUGCCUAAUACAUGCAAGUCGAGCGAACAGACGAGGAGCUUGCUCCUCUGACGUUAGCGGCGGACGGGUGGGUAACACGUGGAUAACCUACCUAUAAGACUGGGAUAACUUCGGGAAACCGGAGCUAAUACCGGAUAAUAUAUUGAACCGCAUGGUUCAAUAGUGAAAGACGGUUUUGCUGUCACUUAUAGAUGGAUCCGCGCCGCAUUAGCUAGUUGGUAAGGUAACGGCUUACCAAGGCAACGAUGCGUAGCCGACCUGAGAGGGUGAUCGGCCACACUGGAACUGAGACACGGUCCAGACUCCUACGGGAGGCAGCAGUAGGGAAUCUUCCGCAAUGGGCGAAAGCCUGACGGAGCAACGCCGCGUGAGUGAUGAAGGUCUUCAGAUCGUAAAACUCUGUUAUUAGGGAAGAACAAAUGUGUAAGUAACUAUGCACGUCUUGACGGUACCUAAUCAGAAAGCCACGGCUAACUACGUG